rnacentral:lncRNA from 1 species
GUGGGGUAUAUUGAUGAUAACAAAAUAAAAGAGACUUGAUGAGUUGCAAUAAGGGCUCAGCAUAGAUAUUUGUUUGAUCCCGCGCUUUUCACUUGCCCGAACAAUGAAGAUCUAGAGAAUGAAGUCCGUGCAACUAUUAAAAAUAAAGUAUAUCAAAUGCAAGCACCAGAUAACAUAUUAGUGCCAGAUGACAUGAUCGAUAUAGGACAAUUGCAAAGAGACGACUGUGAACCUAAGGAUGUUCCUAUUGUUGGAUCAUCGAUAAGGGCACAAGCAUGAGCAUGAUCCAAUAAUAAUUUGGGAUC